UACACGACCGUACCGCAAACCGACACUGGUGCGCGAGAUGAGUAUUCUAAGGCGCUUGAGAGAACUCAGGAGAAGGAACUCGGCAAAUUGACACCGUAACUUCGGAAGAAGGUGUGCCUUUAGUAGGUGAACCUGUACAAGGGGAGCCCAAUGAGGUUGCAAAAAAUCGGUGGCUGCGACUGUUUAAUAAAAACACAGCACUCUGCAAACACGAAAGUGGACGUAUAGGGUGUGACGCCUGCCCGGUGCUGGAAGAUUAAAUGAUGGGGUGCAAGCUCUUGAUUGAAGUCCCAGUAAACGGCGGCCGUAACCAUAACGGUCCUAAGGUAGCGAAAUUCCUUGUCGGGUAAGUUCCGACCUGCACGAAUGGCGUAACGAUGGCCACACUGUCUCCUCCUGAGACUCAGCGAAGUUGAAAUGUUUGUGAUGAUGCAAUCUCCCCGCGGAAAGACGGAAAGACCCCAUGAACCUUUACUGUAGCUUUGUAUUGGACUUUGAACAGAUCUGUGUAGGAUAGGUGGGAGGCUUUGAAGUGUGGUCGCUAGAUCGCAUGGAGCCAACGUUGAAAUACCACCCUGGUGUGUUUGAGGUUCUAACCUAGGCCCGUAAUCCGGGUCGGGGACAGUGCAUGGUAGGCAGUUUGACUGGGGCGGUCUCCUCCCAAAGCGUAACGGAGGAGUUCGAAGGUACGCUAGGUACGGUCGGACAUCGUGCUAAUAGUGCAAUGGCAUAAGCGUGCUUAACUGCGAGACUGACAAGUCGAGCAGAUGCGAAAGCAGGACAUAGUGAUCCGGUGGUUCUGUAUGGAAGGGCCAUCGCUCAACGGAUAAAAGGUACUCUGGGGAUAACAGGCUGAUACCGCCCAAGAGUUCAUAUCGACGGCGGUGUUUGGCACCUCGAUGUCGGCUCAUCUCAUCCUGGGGCUGUAGCCGGUCCCAAGGGUAUGGCUGUUCGCCAUUUAAAGAGGUACGUGAGCUGGGUUUAAAACGUCGUGAGACAGUUUGGUCCCUAUCUUCCGUGGGCGCUGCAGAUUUGAGGAAGCCUGCUCCUAGUACGAGAGGACCGGAGUGGACACACCUCUGGUGUAUCGGUUGUCACGCCAGUGGCAUUGCCGAGUAGCUAUGUGUGGAAGAGAUAACCGCUGAAAGCAUCUAAGCGGGAAACUCGUUUCAAGAUGAGAUCUGCCGGGGCCUUGAGCCCCCUAAAGAGUCGUUCAAGACCAGGACGUUGAUAGGUCGGGUGUGGAAGCGCAGUAAUGCGUUAAGCUAACCGAUACUAAUUGCUCGUGCGGCUUGACCA
rnacentral:rRNA from 1 species